rnacentral:rRNA from 1 species
AUUGAACGCUGGCGGCAGGCCUAACACAUGCAAGUCGAACGAGUGGCGGACGGGUGAGUAAUGUCUGGGAAACUGCCUGAUGGAGGGGGAUAACUACUGGAAACGGUAGCUAAUACCGCAUACCAUCGGAUGUGCCCAGAUGGGAUUAGCUAGUAGGUGGGGUAACGGCUCACCUAGGCGACGAUCCCUAGCUGGUCUGGGAGGAUGACCAGCCACACUGGGACUGAGGCACGGGCCAGAAUCCUACGGGAGGAAGCAGUGGGGAAUAUUGCACAAUGGGCGCAAGCCUGAAGCAGCCAUGCCGCGUGGAUGGAGGAGGCCUUCGGGUUGUAAAGGACUUUCAGCGGGGAGGCGUUACCCGCAGAAGAAGCACCGGCUAACUCCGUGCCAGCAGCCGCGGUAAUUC